UGUAAGCGUAUACCAAAGUUGUUGCAGUUAAAACGCUCGUAGUCGGAAUUUGGCAGUUCCGGAAGUGUGCACGCCGUGUGCGCACUUUGCGGGGACUGCUUUUGUGGUCUUGCGUAGGAUGAGGCACUUUCAUUAGUGAACGUCCUCACGCAACCACUCUUUACUGUGAGAAAAUCAGAGUGCUCAAAGCAGGCAUUUGCCGUGAAUGUAUUAGCAUGGAAUAAUAGAAUAGGACUCGGUUCUAUUUUGUUGGUUUGUUGGGACUGAGUAAUGAUUAAGAGGGACAGUUGGGGGCAUUUGUAUUCCGGCGCUAGAGGUGAAAUUCUUAGAUUGCCGGAAGACAAACUGCUGCGAAAGCGUCUGCCAAGGAUGUUUUCAUUGA
rnacentral:rRNA from 1 species